GAUGAAGAACGUAGCGAAAUGCGAUAAGUAAUGUGAAUUGCAGAAUUCAGUGAAUCAUCGAAUCUUUGAACGCACAUUGCGCCCCCUGGUAUUCCGGGGGGCAUGCCUGUCCGAGCGUCAUUGCUGCCCUCAAGCACGGCUUGUGUGUUGGGCUUCCGUCCCUGGCAACGGGGACGGGCCCAAAAGGCAGUGGCGGCACCAUGUCUGGUCCUCGAGCGUAUGGGGCUUUGUCACCCGCUCCCGUAGGUCCAGCUGGCAGCUAGCCUCGCAACCAAUCUUUUUAACCAGGUUGACCUCGGAUCAGGUAGGGAUACCCGCUGAACUUAAGCAUAUCAAUAAGCGGAGGA
rnacentral:misc_RNA from 1 species